CAACACAUGAGAUUUAAACAAAGAUCAAAACUUGGAGGUCCGCUGUGAUAGCUUGGUUUAAGAAGUGCAAUAUUAAAACAAAAGCCCUGAGUCUUUUAAGCCCAGUGUGUAAAGAUACCCUAUGAGUUAUCUUAAAGGCACAAUA